rnacentral:miRNA from 14 species
CCUAGAACUCACUUUGUAGACCAGGCUGGCCUCAAACUCACAGAGAUAUGCCUGCCUCUGCCUCCUGAGUCCUGGGAU